UACAGAGGCCCCAAGCAUUAUCCGGAAUCACUGGGCGUAAAGGGUGUGUAGGCGGCGUUGUUAGUCUUUCGUGAAAGGUCUCUGGCUUAACUAGGGAACCGCGGGAGAAACGGCAAUGCUUCGAGGAUGCGAGAGGUAAAGGGAACUCAAGGUGUAGGGGUGAAAUCCGUUGAUAUCUUGGGGAACACCAAAUGCGAAGGCACUUUACUGGCGCACUCCUGACGCUGAAACACGAAAGCGUGGGAAUCGAACGGG
rnacentral:rRNA from 1 species